GACAAACGCUGGCGGCAUGCCUAACACAUGCAAGUCGAACGGACAGAACAGGGAAGCUUUUCGGAGUGGAACUGGAAAGUUAGUGGCGGAUGGGUGAGUAACGCGUGGACAACCUACCUUGUAAAGGGGAAUAACCUCGAGAAAUCGAAGCUAAUACCCCAUAAUAACCUUGCUUCGCAUGAAGUAAGGAGGAAAGGCGGCCUUAGCGCUGUCGAUACAAGAUGGGUCCGCGUCUGAUUAGCUAGUUGGUGAGGUAAAGGCUCACCAGGGCGACGAUCAGUAGCCGGCCUGAGAGGGUGAACGGCCACAUUGGGACUGAGACACGGCCCAAACUCCUACGGGAGGCAGCAGUGGGGAAUCUUCCGCAAUGGGCGAAAGCCUGACGGAGCAAUGCCGCGUGAGUGAAGAAGGCCUUCGGGUUGUAAAACUCUGUCCUUAUCGAAGAGAGAGUGUUGUAGUAACUGACAAUACUAGGACGGUAGAUGAGGAGGAAGCCCCGGCUAACUAUGUG
rnacentral:rRNA from 1 species